rnacentral:rRNA from 1 species
AGAACGAACGCUGGCGGCAUGCCUAAUACAUGCAAGUCGAACGAAGGCUUCGGCCUUAGUGGCGCACGGGUGCGUAACGCGUGGGAAUCUGCCCCUUGGUUCGGAAUAACAGUUGGAAACGACUGCUAAUACCGGAUGAUGACGAAAGUCCAAAGAUUUAUCGCCAAGGGAUGAGCCCGCGUAGGAUUAGCUAGUUGGUGAGGUAAAGGCUCACCAAGGCGACGAUCCUUAGCUGGUCUGAGAGGAUGAUCAGCCACACUGGGACUGAGACACGGCCCAGACUCCUACGGGAGGCAGCAGUAGGGAAUAUUGGACAAUGGGCGAAAGCCUGAUCCAGCAAUGCCGCGUGAGUGAUGAAGGCCUUAGGUUGUAAAGCUUCUUUACCCGAGAUGAUAAUGACAGUAUCGGAGAAUAAGCCCGCUAACUCCGUGCCAGCAGCCGC